AUCUCGCACUCUCUGUAACACUAACAUCUCUCUCUCUCUCUCUCAAAGUCGUCUCGAGGUUUUUCCUCACCUUCUUUGCUGAGGAUGUUCGCCUUUUCGCUAUGUUAUUCAUUCUGUCAUUUGUAAGUCCCUUCCUCUGAUUUACAUUUGGUUUAUGGCGACUGUUUUUCUGCGUUGUUGGCGUAGAUGGACGGUUUAUGUAUGGAAGAUUUCUGGAGGCCCCGAUGAAGAAGAUACGCCUUGAAUUACAUGAAAAGCUGUUAUUUCCAUUCAAAUUAUGGGAGAGGACGACUUUCUUGGCAUUGCCACAUACAAUUGGGAUUGGAGGAUAUAUUCUGAGAAUUGAUGCAACAAAAUCUGGUAAGGGUAAAAGUGUAUUCGGCUGAGGAACCUCUCAAAAUGCCCUGUUGAUAAGGUGAUUGAUGGGACCCAGUUGGUUGGUUUUUAACAUACAUAAGCAAUGUUUGUACAUGGGUGUGCAGUCGCGUGCAAAUUCAUAUUAUAUUUUAUACGAGAAGAUAAAGGAAGAUGCUCAUGACUGUGCCUCGCAAAAUGUAUGUUGUGCAACAGGUAAAAGACAUGGGAUGAUUUCUAGCAAGUAUGUAGUAUGUACCACUCGCUGCAUUCAGACCUCAUGAAGGUCAGACUGUUUGGUCGGCUGCAUUUGAGCUGCUCACCAUCCACCAGAUCACAUCAUACUUAUCACUUUGUACAUAUGCCCAUCACUAACUUUUUUUUUCCCAGUCCAAGUCACGGCAGUGCUGUUCGUUUUACUGCUACCUCUGACAUUAUGUAUGUCUAUUCAUUUUUAUUUUCGAUAUUUAACUAUCAUUUUUUGUAUAAGUAAUCAAGAAGUUUUAUUCAUAAAAGUAGGCAAAGCCCAAGUACAUUCGAUUUUUAACUAACAUUGGCAUGGACUUGUGUUUUUGUUUCUGGAAUUGCAUUUCAACAAGCGUUUUCCAAGAUGUAAGAUGUUUUCUUAUAAUGGUCGUUUUAUGGUGUGUUCAAUUUAAUUGUGUGAAACCUGUUUGUCGGGGCCACUGAAUUGAGUGAAAAUGUGGACCUUAACAAGUGAAGAAGGCUGACUACUGCCGAGAGAUAGAAUCGUGGAAGUGUUCCCAGACAUUGGAGUUGAAGAGUACAGCUGAACCCCGUGUUGAGGAGGCAUUCUUCAAUCAAUUGCAGCAUUAUUCACUCAGACUAUGUUCCUAAUUCAGCAGCAACCCACGCGGAUUUUAUACCGUUUAUUGUGCCUAGAAAAGCCAGAUUCAAAUGUUGUGUGAUGCAACUGGUUCUGAAGGAUUUGCUGCUUUGGACCCAUCUUGAAAUAAGCCUACUGAGAAAGUCCCCUUAGCUGGUUCUGGACCCAUACAAAGCAUACAAGUAGUUCUGAGUGUGCAACUGCAGCGAGAUAUCCUGUAAGCUCUCAUUUUUCUGAGGCAGCCACUUCAAAAGAAAUUAAUAGUUUUAGUACGAUAUCUAAGACUGUUGCACUGACUACAGUAUUUGGGAGUGGUUGUAUAUGGUAAUUGAACCCACUGGGAGGUAAACUUUUAAUCAUUUCUAGAUUCUUCAUUCUCUAGCGACCUCAUGUUUCAUUUAUGAUUUCUACAAGUUAUCUCGGUACGCGAGGCAUCGUUAUUUUUUAUCUUCAAUAAAAUGUUUGAGACUCAGCCAUUGAGCGGCCAUGGAAAACACCUUUUUUUCUAUUUUUAGAAUUGGAGGGUGGGUUCAUUGUUGAGACUUUGGUCUAUCCUAUGUAAUUUAU